GACACGCUGGCGGCGUGCCUAACACAUGCAAGUCGAGCGGAGUCGAUCGACGGAAGCCUUCGGGCGGAAGAUGGUUGACUUAGCGGCGGAUGGGUGAGUAACGCGUGGGCAACCUGCCUCGAAGACCGGGAUAACAGCCCGAAAGGGCUGCUAAUACCGGAUGUGGUCAAGGAUCCGCAUGGAUUUUGAUUAAGGGAAACCCGUUUCGAGAUGGGCCCGCGUCCUAUCAGCUAGUUGGUGAGGUAAAAGCUCACCAAGGCGACGACGGGUAGCCGGCCUGAGAGGGUGACCGGCCACACUGGAACUGAGACACGGUCCAGACUCCUACGGGGGGCAGCAGUGGGGAAUCUUCCACAAUGGGCGAAAGCCUGAUGGAGCGACGCCGCGUGAGCGAAGAAGGCCUUCGGGUUGUAAAGCUCUGUCUGGAGGGACGAAGGAAGUGACGGUACCUCCGGAGGAAGCCACGGCUAACUACGUG
rnacentral:rRNA from 1 species